GGGGCUGUAGCUCAGUGGUAGAGCAUAUGCGUGGGGUGCACAAGGUCCUGAGUUCAAUCCCCAGUACCUCCA
rnacentral:tRNA from 1 species